GGCCGGUGAAGAAAACCUUCUGCCAUAUGAGUACACUGAUUAUACAGCAACCGUUCCAUUUAUUUCUGAGGCU